rnacentral:rRNA from 1 species
UACGAAGGGGGCUAGCGUUGUUCGGAAUCACUGGGCGUAAAGCGCACGUAGGCGGCUUGUUAAGUCAGAGGUGAAAGCCUGGAGCUCAACUCCAGAACUGCCUUUGAUACUGGCAAGCUCGAGGAUGGCAGAGGUUGGUGGAACUCCGAGUGUAGAGGUGAAAUUCGUAGAUAUUCGGAAGAACACCAGUGGCGAAGGCGGCCAACUGGGCCAUUACUGACGCUGAGGUGCGAAAGCGUGGGGAGCAAACAGG